rnacentral:rRNA from 1 species
CCUACGGGCGGCAGCAGUGGGGAAUAUUGGACAAUGGGGGGAACCCUGAUCCAGCCAUGCCGCGUGUGUGAAGAAGGCCCUCGGGUUGUAAAGCACUUUCAGUGAGGAAGAACGCCUGGUGGUUAAUACCCAUCAGGAAAGACAUCACUCACAGAAGAAGCACCGGCUAACUCCGUGCCAGCAGCCGCGGUAAUACGGAGGGUGCGAGCGUUAAUCGGAAUUACUGGGCGUAAAGCGCGCGUAGGUGGCUUGAUAAGCCGGUUGUGAAAGCCCCGGGCUCAACCUGGGAACGGCAUCCGGAACUGUCAAGCUAGAGUGCAGGAGAGGAAGGUAGAAUUCCCGGUGUAGCGGUGAAAUGCGUAGAGAUCGGGAGGAAUACCAGUGGCGAAGGCGGCCUUCUGGACUGACACUGACACUGAGGUGCGAAAGCGUGGGUAGCAAACAGGAUUUGAUACCCUAGUAGUC